GAUGAACGCUGGCGGCGUGCUUAACACAUGCAAGUCGAACGUGAGGGUGUAGCAAUAUGCCUGAAAGUGGCGAACGGGUGAGUAACACGUAGAUGACCUGCCCUGGAGUGGGGGAUAACCAUUGGAAACGGUGGCUAAUACCGCAUACAUCCAGAAGAUUGGGAAAUCUUCUGGGGAAAGCUCUGGUGCUCUGGGAGGGGUCUGCGUCCGAUUAGCUAGUUGGUGAGGUAAAGGCUCACCAAGGCGACGAUCGGUAGCUGGUCUGAGAGGACGAUCAGCCACAGGGGAACGGAGACACGGGCCAGACUCCUACGGGGGGCAGCAGUGAGGAAUAAUGGGCAAUGGGGGGGAGCCUGAACCAGCAACGCGGCGUGGAGGAAGACGGCCUUCGGGUUGUAAACUCCUUUUGACAGGGAAGAGAGAGGACGGUACCUGUCGAAUAAGUCACGGCUAACUACGUGCCAGCCGCCGCGGUAAGAC
rnacentral:rRNA from 1 species